rnacentral:rRNA from 1 species
GAUGAACGCUGGCGGCGUGCCUAAUACAUGCAAGUCGAGCGAACGGACGAGAAGCUUGCUUCUCGGAUGUUAGCGGCGGACGGGUGAGUAACACGUGGAUAACCCACCUAUAAUACUGGUAUAACUUCGGGAAACCGGAUCUAAUACCGUAUAAUAUUUUGAACCGCAUGGUUCAAAAGAGAAAGACGGUCUUGCUGGCACUUAUCGAUGGAUCCGCGCUGCAUUAGCUAGUUGGUAAGGUAACGGCUUAUCAAGGCAACGAUGCAUAGCCGACCGGUGAGGCUGGUCGGCGACACGGGAACUGAGACGCGGUCAAGACUCCUAAGGGAGGCCGCAGUAGGGAAUCGUACGCAGUGGGCGAGAGCCUGACGGAGCAACGCCGAGUGAGUGACGAAGGUGUUCGGAUCGUAAAACUCUGUUAUGAGGGAAGAACAUAUGUGUAAGGUACUGUGCACAGCUUGACGGUAACUAAUAAGAAAGCCACGGCUAACUACGUG